rnacentral:lncRNA from 1 species
UUCAGAAUGAAUCAGUCAGGGGAACAUCUGCUUCUGAUCCUCAUCUUUUAAAACUGAAAGAUACUGUUUUUUAUGUUCAUCAUAAUAUCAAUAAUUAACAUGACAUUCUGGGUUCAACAGUGAAAAUCAGCUGUUCGAAUCCAUCAAGUUACCUUCACUGACAAAUUACUAAAAUAACUGCCUAUUGGAAGAUUAUCAGUGCUGUUGAAACAGUUUUCUAUUAAUUGUUUUUACUUUACGUUAUUGUUGAUAAAAAGAGAAAAGUAUUCUCUCACUACCAAAAAAAACUGUAAGACAACUUGUGUCUCUGCAGAUGAUCAGCGGUUUGGAUUCGGAGUCCUCCUUACUCUGAGGAUUGUGGGAAUCGUAGCUCUCUGCAGUUCAGUCGUCAUCUUUGAGUGGUGAGACUAACUUUGCUAUUUGUAGAGACUUUGAUCGUUAUUAAAUGCUACAGUUCAACAUGUUCAUGUUUUCUUUACAGCUGGUUCAGAAGGUUUCGCCAAAACCAAUGAAGGACUCACAAGAAGCAGACUAUGUCAACACAGUGGAGGAGAGUCGAGCCUCUUGAGCCACGAGGAGAAGAAGAAGAUGUUAAAUCCAUCAUCAGUGACGUGGUUUAUUCUUUCUAAUAAUGUCUCACGACAUGUUUGUCAUUCAUGGAGUGAAAUCUGUUGUUUGGCGGAUCACAGCGUUUUUCAGUGUUGUAGAGAUGAACUGGUUCUGAUCAGUAGAGGAUAAACAGACACAUAAUUCAUAGCUUGAUAUUUUCUUUGUGCAUUGAAACAGCAUUUAAACUAGCUUAAUAUGCAUUUCUUAUUUGAAGUAUUUUGUUCCAUUUCAUGUUCAUUUCAUGAGCAACACAUACCUUCACUGUAUUCUUGUUUGUUCUCGUAGUUAUUGCUUGAAUUCUUUAUCAACAGAAGUGUUUUCCUUUCAAGUAAAACUGUACUUAUGGAAUUUUUGCAGUUAUCAAAUUGUAAAACAUUAAAUAAUAACUGAAGCA